rnacentral:sRNA from 1 species
AGUCAACUGAAUGUCAAUUUCUUGCAGC